GACGAACGCUGGCGGCGUGCCUAAUACAUGCAAGUAGAACGCUGAAGAGAGGAGCUUACUCUUCUUGGAUGAGUUGCGAACGGGUGAGUAACGCGUAGGUAACCUGCCUUGUAGCGGGGGAUAACUAUUGGAAACGAUAGCUAAUACCGCAUAACAAUGGAUGACACAUGUCAUUUAUUUGAAAGGGGCAAUUGCUCCACUACAAGAUGGACCUGCGUUGUAUUAGCUAGUAGGUGAGGUAAUGGCUCACCUAGGCGACGAUACAUAGCCGACCUGAGAGGGUGAUCGGCCACACUGGGACUGAGACACGGCCCAGACUCCUACGGGAGGCAGCAGUAGGGAAUCUUCGGCAAUGGGGGCAACACUGACCGAGCAACGCCGCGUGAGUGAAGAAGGGUUUCGGAUCGUAAAGCUCUGUUGUAAGUCAAGAACGGGUGUGAGAGUGGAAAGUUCACACUGUGACGGUAGCUUACCAGAAAGGGACGGCUAACUACGUG
rnacentral:rRNA from 1 species